GGCUCUCUGGCGUAUUGGUACCGCUUCAUUGGCCAUUUUUCUGUCUCUCGCAUCGCUCGAUGCUGGGGCCGGUUCAAUCCCGGCGGGAGCCA